GUCAGGAUGGCCGAGUGGUCUAAAGCGCUGCGUUAAGGUCGCAGUCUCCCCUGGAGGCGUGGGGUCAAAUCACACUUCUGGCA
rfam:Gasterosteus aculeatus cont1.016613, whole genome shotgun sequence.